AAAGUACUCCCUCCAUCCCAAAAUUCUUGUCUUAGAUUUGUCUAGAUACGGAUACGGAUGUAUUAGAUACAUCCGUAUCUAGACAAAUCUAAGACAAGAAAUUUGGGACAGAGGGAGUAGUUG
rfam:Triticum aestivum genome assembly, contig: Triticum_aestivum_CS42_TGACv1_scaffold_320257_4BL